rnacentral:rRNA from 1 species
AUUGAACGCUGGCGGCAGGCCUAACACAUGCAAGUCGAGCGCGCGGCGGACGGGUGAGUAAUGUAUGGGGACUGCCCGAUAGAGGGGGAUAACUACUGGAAACGGUGGCUAAUACCGCAUACUAUCGGAUAACCCAUAUGGGAUUAGCUAGUCGGGGGGGUAAAGGCGCACCUAGGCGACGAUCUGUAGCUGGUCUGAGAGGAUGAUAAGCCACACUGGGAAUGAGAAAAGGACCAGACUCCUACGGAGGAAGCAGUGGGGAAUAUUGGACAAUGGGCGCAAGCCUGAUGCAGCAAUGCGGAGUGUAUGAAGAAGGCCUUAGGGUUGUAAAGUACUGUCAGCGGGGAGGCGUUACCCGCAGAAGAAGCACCGGCUAACUCCGUGCCAGCCGCCGCGGUAAUAC